CCUACGGGUGGCAGCAGUGAGGAAUAUUGGUCAAUGGAUGAGAGUCUGAACCAGCCAAGUAGCGUGAAGGAUGACUGCCCUAUGGGUUGUAAACUUCUUUUAUAUGGGAAUAAAACGUUCCACGUGUGGGAUUUUGUAUGUACCAUAUGAAUAAGGAUCGGCUAACUCCGUGCCAGCAGCCGCGGUAAUACGGAGGAUCCGAGCGUUAUCCGGAUUUAUUGGGUUUAAAGGGAGCGUAGGUGGAUUGUUAAGUCAGUUGUGAAAGUUUGCGGCUCAACCGUAAAAUUGCAGUUGAAACUGGCAGUCUUGAGUACAGUAGAGGUGGGCGGAAUUCGUGGUGUAGCGGUGAAAUGCUUAGAUAUCACGAAGAACUCCGAUUGCGAAGGCAGUUCACUGGACUGCAACUGACACUGAGGCUCGAAAGUGUGGGUAUCAAACAGGAUUAGAUACCCCAGUAGUC
rnacentral:rRNA from 1 species